GGGUAAUCCUACAGAAUGUGAUAGAUGUCUCUAGGUUAUUCAUUAAUCCUGACAUUCCUGAGGCUGUUGAGUUCCUAAGCAGAUUUAGUGUAGCCAGUUAUGGAUUCUCAAGCCUUGUGACCAAUGACCUUGGAUACUUAGUUUCUAAAGUUGAUGGUGAUUAUUUCAAUUCCAAAGAGAUCAGUAAUAUUCAAGAUCUUCAUUCAGAUAAUGGGGAUUCUCAUUACUUUGUUAUUGGGACAAUUAAGGAAGUUAUAGAUGAACCAGAUUGGUGGUACUACUCAUGUCUAUAUGGUCAUGCCGUUGUUGAGCAUGAGGAUCUCUA